rnacentral:rRNA from 1 species
AACGAACGCUGGCGGCAUGCCUAACACAUGCAAGUCGAACGAGCCCUUCGGGUCUAGUGGCGCACGGGUGCGUAACGCGUGGGAACCUGCCCUUAGGUUCGGAAUAACUCCCCGAAAGGGGUGCUAAUACCGGAUAAUGUCUUCGGACCAAAGAUUUAUCGCCUUUGGAUGGUCCCGCGUUGGAUUAGCUAGUUGGUAGGGUAAAAGCCUACCACGGCGACGAUCCAUAGCUGGUCUGAGAGGAUGAUCAGCCACACUGGGACUAGGAAACGGCCCAGAAUCCUACGGGAGGCAGCAGUGGGGAAUAUUGGACAAUGGGCGAAAGCCUGAUCCAGCAAUGCCGCGUGAGUGAUGAAGGCCUUAGGGUUGUAAAGCUCUUUUACCCGGGAUGAUAAUGACAGUACCGGGAGAAUAAGCUCCGGCUAACUCCGUG